GUCCACGCCCUAAACGAUGUCAACUGGUUGUUGGGUCUUCACUGACUCAGUAACGAAGCUAACGCGUGAAGUUGACCGCCUGGGGAGUACGGCCGCAAGGUUGAACUCAAAGGAAUUGACGGGGACCCGGCCACAAGCGGUGGGAUGAUGUGGUUUAAUUUCGAUGCAACGCGAAAACCUUAACCCACCCUUUGUACAUGUACGGAAGUCGCUAGAGAUAGCUUCGUGCUCGAAAGAGAGCCGUAACACAGGUGCUGCAUGGCUGUCGU
rnacentral:rRNA from 1 species